rnacentral:ncRNA from 1 species
CUUCCACCCUCCCCGCACAGGAGGGUGGAACGAGGUAACCGGCGCUCUCUGCCCUGACUGCGUCGAUACCUCUUUCACGGCCCUCGUGGCCGUAGUUGCUCCGGGCUGCGGUGCCGGACGGGCUGAGGGUCCCGUCCUGGCGC